AGGGGGUAUUCUGGUUGCCUUACCCAGCUCUGAAGUCUGUCAGCCUCUUCAGAUGUCACUUGCCCUGUGGUAAGGAAGUGUAGUUGGCAGCUGGUGCAGUGGCAAGAAGAGAAAGGAAGUUCCCCAAGACAGAAACAUCUCAGCAGACUCCAUCAUGAAUUCAUGGCACCACACAGUCCCCUGAUGCUAUAACAUCAUGGAUUUCUUUUGUCCAGUGAGAGGCCCAAAAGCUGCAGCACAGACAAUAUCAUAGUGUAGAAGUUUAACUAGACCGUGAUCAUGGGCUACAUUCUCCAUACCAGCUUCAUAGCUCCAGUGAGAAAAUAAAUUCCUGCACCCAGGAGACGUGGAGUAAGAGAUACAGCUGCCCUUGACCAUAUUUCUUACUUCCGAGAAGAUUGUAGCAGUAAUUCAG
rnacentral:lncRNA from 1 species